rnacentral:rRNA from 1 species
AUUGAACGCUGGCGGCAUGCCUUACACAUGCAAGUCGAACGGCAGCACGGGGGCAACCCUGGUGGCGAGUGGCGAACGGGUGAGUAAUAUAUCGGAACGUACCCUGGAGUGGGGGAUAACGUAGCGAAAGUUACGCUAAUACCGCAUACGAUCUAAGGAUGAAAGUGGGGGAUCGCAAGACCUCAUGCUCCUGGAGCGGCCGAUAUCUGAUUAGCUAGUUGGUGGGGUAAAGGCCUACCAAGGCAUCGAUCAGUAGCUGGUCUGAGAGGACGACCAGCCACACUGGGACUGAGACACGGCCCAGACUCCUACGGGAGGCAGCAGUGGGGAAUUUUGGACAAUGGGGGGCAACCCUGAUCCAGCAAUGCCGCGUGAGUGAAGAAGGCCUCGGUUGUAAGACUCUUUGUUCAGGGAG